rnacentral:rRNA from 1 species
GGCAGCUCGAGUGAUAGCCACUUUUAUUGGGCCUAAAGCGUCCGUAGCCGGCCGAACAGGUCCGUCGGGAAAUCCACUCGCUCAACGAGUGGACGUCCGGCGGAAACCAGUCGGCUUGGGGCCGGGAGACCAGAGAGGUACGUCCGGGGUAGGAGUGAAAUCCUGUAAUCCUGGACGGACCGCCGGUAGCGAAAGCGUCUCUGGAGAACGGACCCGACGGUGAGGGACGAAAGCUUGGGUCUCGAACCGGAUUAGAUACCCGGGUAGUCCAAGCCGUAAACGAUGCUCGCUAGGUGUGGCGUUGGCUACGAGCCAGCGCUGUGCCGUAGGGAAGCCGAGAAGCGAGCCGCCUGGGAAGUACGUCCGCAAGGAUGAAACUUAAAGGAAUUGGCGGGGGAGCACUACAACCGGAGGAGCCUGCGGUUUAAUUGGACUCAACGCCGGACAUCUCACCGGCACCGACAGUGUGCAGUGACAGUCAGUCUGAUGGGCUUACUUGAGCCACUGAGAGGAGGUGCAUGGCCGCCGUCAGCUCGUACCGGUGAGGCGUCCUGUUAAGUCAGGCAACGAGCGAGACCCGCGUCCCUAAUUGCCA